GCAGCUCAGUUGCUUAGAGCACCUGCUUGGCAUGCAGAAGGGCCCCGAUUCAAUCCCUGGCAUCUCCA